ensembl:lncRNA
GGGGGGCAUUUUAUAUUAAACACCGCGGAGAUCAAACAGUGCAGCACAGUUUUCUAUCAAGCGCUUCAAACAAACGUGGCUCGUCGUGUCGGACGCCGCGGCAGUCGCGCGUGCGGUUUAACGUGUUCCGGACGUGUUUUUCUUCGGUGCGGAAACGACGCGUCUACCUUUCUCUAUCCUCAUCUGUAAAUGCUAGACGUUCACAGCGGUAUUUCCGCUGCACGUAAAGUCUCGUCCCGACAGCGAGCGAGUCUCCGUUACACUUCACCGGACGAGCGCGAGUCCACGCGUACGCCUCGAUCGAACGGAGCGCGAUUCAACUUUAACCCGGGAGAUCGCAUUGAGAGCUCGCUCUCUCUUCUUCCAGGCAGACCUGACCUACAGCGACAGACAGGAAGCGCGGUAACUCGGACUAAAAUAUCCGUUCUGAUCAGACGUGUGGUGUAACGCUGUGUUUGGUGAUAUUUAUAAACGACAGCAGUCGUAGUCGAGUUUCAUGCGCGCGGUAACCGUGACGCGGUCCGAACACGUCGGCGUAUAUGAAUGUCAGAAUAAAGUGACGUGUAACUGAGUUUAAAGGAGCGAACGUGUGCGUUACUGCACAACAUUCAGCCUCUUACCACGUAACACUACUCCGUUUCUGCUUUCCUUUUUCUCUUUUAGUAAUUCUAAUACAGUGAUUUCACGUCCGCUUUAAAGCUCGUGGACGAUCAGCUGUUUGUUUUUUCAAAAUACAAUGUUGAUUUUUUUUUUUUUAAAAAUCCUUUGCGCAAUGUCUAACAUUUCAUACAUUUUUCACGGUCUUCAGUGUUUGAAGGAGAACGUCGUAAUAUGCUGUUUGAUCCGGUUUAGCAGGACGUCGAUCAGGAUCAGCGAUGAGGUUGGACGGAUUUAUACGCCCUUAGAUCGGAUUUGACGUUUCUGUGAUCAGAUGAACGCAGGACUCGAGGUGGCACCGUCGCACCGUCGAAGUUUCACGUGACGCGGCUGGAAAUGUUUGCAAAGUGGUGGUACCGCUGCCCUGUACUGGGUACCGCUGCCCUGUACUGGUGGUACCGCUGCCCUGUACUGGUGGUACCGCUGCCCUGUACUGCGUGUUGGGAAUAAAUGUGCAGCUUGUUUUUAUUUCGGUUCUGUUCCUAUUUAUUUCGGCCCAAAAGCAGACCUUUCGUCUCGAUCGACUCAAAUAAAAACGUGGAGCUUUUUUCGAGUGUGUACAGAUCUUCAAGCCCAGCCCGGUAGCGUUGUGAGGACGUCAGUCGCUCGGCGUGUCUCCACCCUGUUUGGAGCGCCCCGGCCCGAUUGUUCAGAGCUUCGAGUCCUGCCGAUGUCGCAUCCGUUUUGGCCGCGGCCGUGUUUCCACUACACGGCUGAAGGAAACGAGAUUUGGGGGAAACGGUCACCUGGGAAACACAACCGGGUUGUGUGCGUGCGUGCGUGCGUGCGUGCGUGAGUGUGUGUGUGUGUGUGUGUGUGUGUGUGGGGAAGAGUUCAGUACAUUACAGCAGCGGGGUGGGAGAGGGGAACGAGUACACUCUUCAGUACGAGAGUGAUUGCGCUGAAGCGAAGCGAGGGUUAGUUUACGGGAACGAGUUGAAUUAUAACGUGGGGAAUACGGCGUGAGAAACGUUCGUAGGAAGGAAGCUUUAUUUCCGUUGUCUGCUUAUCUACGAAUAAAACAAAUGAACAUCCCGGACGUGAACUGUGCUCGUCCCAGGCGCCCAGGCUCAGAUCUAGUACACCCAGUGUCGGAUAAGGGACGUUUUACACGCUCGACUCUGCACUCGGACUGUUCGGGGGCGGGGCUUAUAAUGCCGUUUUUCCUCUGGAGCAAACGCUCCUGCACCUUUUCCACGCAGAAAUACCUGCCAGUGUCUGGUUUCCCAGCCGUCAAGCAGACGUGUAGAUUUUGUUGCUAAUUCCAGCGCUCCAGUCCAAUGAAAGUAUGCGCGUGGGUGUGUGUGUGUUUUUUUUGUUUUUGUUUAGAUCCAUGUGGUGCUCCGUUUCCUCCUCCUGCCAAUUUCCUCACCAUCGCCAAACUUUUAAACAGGAAGUCAGACGAACAAGCGGCCGCUUUGCUCGGCAGUCGUCGCGUCCGCACGUCACUAGGUGUGGGCUGGACGAUACGACGCAAAACAUCAGUGUUAAAGUUUAUAAACGCGCACGAGACGCAUCAGGACCGCGUCGGUGUUAAACCGAGAGAGGGUGGGUGGGUGUGUACGUGUGAGGGGGGGUUGUGUGCGCGUGCGUACGUGUGCGUGCGCUCCUCCCAGUCAGACUUUCUCCGUGGUAAUGGUUUUCCUGUUCCUCCGCGCUUCCUCUGCCCUGAAGCUGAAGCUCUGCUGCACUGUAAUUAGGUGAGGAACAAAAUGGACGAGGUUCUCCUCCUGCACCAGACAGCAGUACGCGAGCGGAGAGAGAGAGAGAGAGAGCGCGGGGAACGCCUCGGGAUCAGUCCUCUCGCGUCUGCGUCAGGACGUUCUUUCACAGUCGUUUCUUCGCCGUGGAUCCGUACAUCUCGCAUCUUCCGUUUGUGUCCGUGUUCAACCUGCUGUUUUUAUUCGUUCAUUUCAUUCAUUUCUUUCCUGCAGCCGUGUCGAACCGUAACGCACGUGGCGGCGUCAAGGGUCGGGGUCUCCUCCUCCUCCUCCUCCGCUCACAUUCUUGAUUCUCUUUGCAACACACACUCUCACACACACCUGUGUUUUACACAUCUGUGUUUUUCUUUAAUGUAAAGCCGCUCGGAACGUCUCCCAGCCUGGCGUGUUUACACGUGCGCAGUGCAGGGAUUAAUAUUUGACGUGAUGUCGUUGGCGGGUUUCCAGAGAUCGACGGGUCUGGAUUAAAAGCCGAGUCAGAGGUCAGCCGCGCCGACGGGGCGGAGAUGUACCGCUCUGAGCGGCAGAGUAAAGUGCUCGACGGCUGAGUUCUGUACGUGUGGACGGUUAGGACCGAUAUGAGGAGAAUGCGGUCACGUUAGACCGGCGCAGGGCCAACCCUCUCUUCUGAUUGGUCAGAAGGUGUGGGUUUACUUGCGAGUGUUCUUCCGUGAACCAGCGUUAAUCUUCUCGGAGGAACACGCACACGUGCACACGUUCAGGUGACCUCACGGGAUGAGAGCCAUUUUUACACCUUGAUUUAAAUAUUCAGCUGGAUUUGUGUAUCUUGUUGUUGUUGUUUUUGUUGUUGUUUAGAUUUCUUGUUCUGAGAAACACGACGCUCGACUGUCUGUGGAGCAGAAAUGUCCUGUAGCAGCCAAAUAUCUGUGCCGUGGCUUUCGGUCUUUGCUUCAUUUGUUUUGUUUUAGGCUUUGCUUUCUCGCUCUCUCUCUCUCUCUCUCUCC